rnacentral:tRNA from 2 species
GGGCCCGUGGUCUAGAAUGGAUAGGACAUCGGCCUCCGGAGCCGAAGGUCGCGGGUUCAAAUCCCGCCGGGCCCG